rnacentral:rRNA from 1 species
GACGAACGCUGGCGGCGUGCCUAACACAUGCAAGUCGAGCGGAGAACGACGAGCAGCUUGCUGCAAGUUGUUCUUAGCGGCGGACGGGUGAGUAACGCGUGGGCAAUCUGCCUCAAACAGGGGGAUAACACAGGGAAACUUGUGCUAAUACCGCAUAAAACCACAACAUGGCAUCAUGAAGUGGUCAAAGGAAGAAAUUCCGGUUUGAGAUGAGCCCGCGUCUGAUUAGCUAGUUGGUGAGGUAACGGCUCACCAAGGCGACGAUCAGUAGCCGAACUGAGAGGUUGAUCGGCCACAUUGGGACUGAGACACGGCCCAGACUCCUACGGGAGGCAGCAGUGGGGAAUAUUGCACAAUGGGGGAAACCCUGAUGCAGCGACGCCGCGUGAAGGAAGAAGGCCUCGGUUGUAACUACUUGUACAGGACGAAAACUAGACGGUACCUAGGAGAACAAGACCACGGCGUAACUACGUGCCAGCAGCCGCGGUAAAGU